CCCGGGAGCGGGGGACCACCAGGUUGCCUAAGGAGGGGUGAACCGGCCCAGGUCGGAAACAG
ensembl:miRNA